rnacentral:tRNA from 1 species
GGGAUUGUGGCUUAGAGGUAGAGCGCUUGCCUAGAAUGUGUGAGGCACUGAGUUCGAUCCUCAGCAUCACA